CAUCAUUUGGCGUGACAGACAGGCUCUGUCCGAAUAAACUUCACGGCGAAUAACAAGACAAUGCAAAUAAAUCCCUAACUCUGCUCCGCGGUGGAUUUGUUUGGUUUAACUCAGAGACUGAACUGGCCUAAAGCGCAAGGGCAAAUUGGAGAACCGACUUCAGGAUCACAUUGUGUCUGAGACAGGCUUCUUUCUGCUACUUCAGGUGUGUGUCAGUGCGAGUAACUCAUUGAGAUCAUUUUCAUGGCUUAUUGUGCUUAACUCUUUUUAACAUCAAGCAUGUCCCACACUUUCUCAUUCAUGUAUGUUCUUUUCGUAUAAUCCAAAACAUCAAAUGCAAGUGCUUUGCUUCAAAAGGACAUACGCAACUUUUUUUUUUUUAACAUAUAAUAAAAAGAUAAAAGAUCUCUGAUGUUGCGUUUUGAGCCAUUGCUGUGACAAAGCAUCAAUUAAACUAAAAUUAAAAUGACAAUUUGGCUUUCAAUCUGCACUUAUAUCAUAAGAAGCUGUGAUUUAAUUAAGUAUAUAGUUUCAAAGUGAAGCGUGGCACAUGAGCAGCUCGUGAUCCAGUGUUUUCAGACUGAAUGCUCCAUCUCUCCAUGUGCUGUGAGUUUAACAUGCAUUGGGAACGCACCAGUUACGCAUUAUUUUCAUUACUUGCUUUAAAAUAAUUUCACAUUUAGCAGUGCGAAACAGACAAAAAUGUAACUCCUGUUUUGAAGAAAUGUUUUGAAGCUCUAUUACACCUCCUUGUGUUAAACACAAAUGCAGAGUGUAUGUACAUAAACGUAAUUUCUACAGUUUGGUCUGUUUCAUCAUCUCCAUCAAAAUGCUUUUAUGUUCUGUAUAUAUUUUUUCUCUUACAGCUGAGAUGAUGCCACACUGACCUCUCUUAUCCCUAUUAUUGGACUUUGUUUAAAAUUUAAGAAGUACCUCAAGAAUGUGCUUGAUAUAUAAGUAGAAGGCAUUAGAUGUAGAAGGUAUGGGGUACAUCUGCUUUAAAUGAAGACGGUCUUUGGGAGCUGAUAUCAAAGCUUUUUUUUGCACAUUUGAGGGUUGACCUUCAUGUAUUUUCUAGACAUCUAGUUACUUUCAGUGUGUUCAUGCUGGAUAUCAUCACACAUUCAGGCUUACUUGAUCAUUUAGAAGACACCUACUGGAGUAUGUGAUGACAUUGGAAAUGAAAUGGAGGAAGCCUGAUUCAUCAAAUUCAGUUUUAGACACUGUUGAGCAGUGUGAUGAGGACUGUGAUAAGAUAGAGGAAGAAAAUAUACAAGACAGUAGCGUUUUUAGCUAAAUUAAGGUCAAAUUCCUCCCAGACGUUGAGUGCUGUUCAUUUUGUGGUAGAUCACACAUCUAGCCUUAUCAGUGAGGUUGGAUCUCUACAGAGAAAAACAGUCUCUUUUUAAGGGAGAUAGGGGACAGAGAGAGAGUCCUUUCUAAACAGUUGUCCAUUUCACUUGUACUUUACAAUGAUGAAUGUGAGAUGGUCAGUCCACAUAAACAAAACCUAGCUUGUGAACUGAGGUUUUUGAUCCAUUUUACUCUGAAAUGCUUGCGACCUGAGUAUCUUUCUAGCCUAAACUCUCACUUCUUGUUGGCAGUGUAUGGACAAUGUAAAAACAUAUGGAAUAAAUGCUGUCUUAAAUCCAAUUGUGUGAGCAAUUAAGGAUCUGGAAUUUGGAGGGAACUUUACUGCAGAGGCGGUUAUGUUUUUGCAGCAUCUGAGUGAGGAACACCAUAGACUGUUUUUGGAGCUUUAUCCAGACAGGCAUUUGAAGCCAAAACACCACCUGGGGCCAUCAGGAAACUUGGACCUUUGGUUCAGUUCUGGUGCAUGCGUUUUAAGGCAAUGCAUGUUUUGUUUUUUUGAAAGACUAAGUCAUUUAACCUGCAAUUUUUGCAACAUUUGUAAAACACAGGCUUUCCGACACCAGAUAAUGUUGUGCUACACCCUGCUUCUCUGCGAAGAUGUUCUCACAUGACAUUGAAGUCGGUCCUGGAUACACCACACUCCUGGGAUCUACAGAGGGUUUUGAGAAAGUGAAAUGUGGUUUCUAGACAGAUGUCUAUUUGCAAUUUUUGAUUAAAUGCAAGGGAACUACCUACAGGUCAGGAAUGACACUGUGUUUUUGUGUCUGACUCUGCUGAUAAUGAGCUCCAGUUCAGAACAUUGUGGUCAUUGACUCCAAAGUCAAAUUCAUUGUGAAAAAUGGGACACAGUUUGAUUUAAAGGCACAAUAUGUAAGAUUUUUGUAAUAAAAUAUCCAAAACCA